AGAAUGCGCACUUCUUGUUUAGAAAACUUGUAUUAAUAUCUUACUUUUUUGACAAACUUUUGAUGAAAUGGAUUCUUUGCUAGUGAGUAGUGACACCCUAUAUCAUUCUGCUUACUUUUAAGUAAUCAGCCCCUGCUGCCAUGGCUUGUAUUUCUGAUGGAGCAAAUAAACCACAAGCUAGUUGCCAUCUAUAUCAUCCAGCUCCCGAUGGGGUAAAUAUUAACCAAAAAAAUAUUUGCAGCAUCUUCCCUUGUGAAUAUAGGUAGUUCAUUUUCUGUAGUGGCAGAGCUAGAU
rnacentral:misc_RNA from 1 species